UAAGACCCCAUGGGAGAGCGCAGGACACCCUGCCGCCGAAGGAGCAACGCCCCGGAAACUCUCAGGCACCAAGGACCGUGUGGGCCGC
rnacentral:ncRNA from 1 species